UACGAAGGGGGCUAGCGUUGCUCGGAAUCACUGGGCGUAAAGCGCACGUAGGCGGAUUGCUAAGUCAGGGGUGAAAUCCUGGAGCUCAACUCCAGAACUGCCUUUGAUACUGGCGAUCUUGAGUCCGGGAGAGGUGAGUGGAACUCCUAGUGUAGAGGUGGAAUUCGUAGAUAUUCGCAAGAACACCAGUGGCGAAGGCGGCUCACUGGCCCGGUACUGACGCUGAGGUGCGAAAGCGUGGGGAGCAAACAGG
rnacentral:rRNA from 1 species